rnacentral:rRNA from 1 species
AGCGAACGCUAGCGGCAGGCUUAACACAUGCAAGUCGAGCGCCAGGUUUCGGCCUGGAGCGGCGAACGGGUGAGUAACACGUAGGUCACGUACCCUAUGGUGGGGAAUACCCCGGGGAAACUCGGAUCAAUGCCCCAUAUGUCCGAAAGGAUGAAAGCGCUUCGGCGCGCCAGAGGAUCGGCCUGCGGCCCAUUAUUUAAUCCUAGUUGGUGAGGUAACGGCUCACCAAGGGUACGAUGGGUAGCUGGUCUGAGAGGACGAUCAGCCACACUGGAACUGAGACACGGUCCAGACUCCUACGGGAGGCAGCAGUGGGGAAUAUUGGACAAUGGGCGAAAGCCUGAUCCAGCCAUGCCGCGUGAGUGAUGAAGGCCUUCGGGUUGUAAAGCUCAGUCGUGGGGGAAGAAGUUCUGACGGUACCCCACAAGAAAGCACCGGCUAACUCCGUGCCAGCAGCCGCCGCGG